GGGAGCAAGCUCCAUGCGUCAGUUCCCGCCAAAUUGUAGCUCUUUCGAGCGAGGAGGUGCUGAAACACUGCACAGAGACGGGCAAGCACUCAGAGGCAUUUCGUUUGCCUUGAUCCUGGAGGCGGCCUUCUCCCAUUGCCGAGGAUUUGAAGCGAACUCCUGGCAGAUCAGAAAUGUUCAGGCGAACGGCGGUUAUAUUUGUCCGUGGACCCAAGACUUCGUUGACGGGCAAAUAUGUCAGAUUUUCUUGUUUUUUAUUUGUGGCAUCUUAUUGUAAGACCGUGACAUAUCUUGCCGUUUUCUCUAGGGAACCCUGCAAAAGGACUGUAGUGUGAAUAGCGUGCUGCGCUGCUCUCGCCAACUGAAAAGAACUCUGGUGUGCUGUAAAUGCCCACUGCACAAUAUGUGACUGGCCCGCGGCUGCUUUGAAGUCUGUGCGCUGUGGAGCUUGAAGCACUUCUCGGAAUUUCAGCACACUCGCAUUUAUUUUUUUCCCGACAGAAGAAAAAUGCAAGUCUAACAUCUCGACGGUAAAACGUCGCAUCUGCGCACAGGGCCAAGAGCACGAGAAGUGGCCGAAAGAAGGGAGCCGAUCCAACAGGAAUGCCGUCCGUCUUUAUAUUUAUAUAUGUCAGCGUUAUCAUGCCGUGAUCACAUGGACUGUACGGUUGCGUUGCACAAGGGCUGAUGCAAACGCUCCGUGCGAACAAUGUUGCAUGGAAAAUUAGUGCAUCUAUACAAUUGCAAAAUAAAGAUCUAAAGAGAGAAAACUUAUAUUCACGUCUUUCUUUUAUUGCGUGUUACGUAUUAACACGUUAACAAGUGCAGACCCUUAGAGGCGUUUAAUUCCGUCUUACAUGUGCACUCUGCCCGUAAUUAAUUCAGAUAG